UACGUAGGGGGCAAGCGUUGUCCGGAAUCAUUGGGCGUAAAGAGCGUGUAGGCGGCCCGAUUAGUCCGCUGUGAAAGUCCAGGGCUCAACCCUGGAAUGCCGGUGGAUACUGUCGGGCUCGAAUCCGGAAGAGGUGAGUGGAAUUCCUGGUGUAGCGGUGAAAUGCGCAGAUAUCAGGAGGAACACCAAUGGCGAAGGCAGCUCACUGGGACGGUAUUGACGCUGAGACGCGAAAGCGUGGGGAGCAAACAGG
rnacentral:rRNA from 1 species